rnacentral:rRNA from 1 species
UAGGGAAUCUUCCGCAAUGGACGCAAGUCUGACGGAGCAACGCCGCGUGAGUGAAGAAGGAUUUCGGUUCGUAAAACUCUGUUGUUAGAGAAGAACAGCGCAUAGAGUAACUGUUAUGCGUGUGACGGUAUCUAACCAGAAAGCCACGGCUAACUACGUGCCAGCAGCCGCGGUAAUACGUAGGUGGCAAGCGUUGUCCGGAUUUAUUGGGCGUAAAGCGAGCGCAGGCGGUCAAUUAAGUCUGAUGUGAAAGCCCCCGGCUCAACCGGGGAGGGUCAUUGGAAACUGGUUGACUUGAGUGCAGAAGAGGAGAGUGGAAUUCCAUGUGUAGCGGUUAAAUGCGUAGAUAUAUGGAGGAACAACAGUGGCGAAGGCGACUCUCUGGUCUGUAACUGACGCUGAGGCUCGAAAGCGUGGGUAGCAAACAGG